UCGCCCGUAGCUUAACUGGCUCAAAGCACUGCCCUCUUAAGGCAGGUGAUAUCGGUUCAAAUCCGAUCGGGCGAA
rnacentral:tRNA from 1 species